rnacentral:rRNA from 1 species
UACGAAGGGGGCUAGCGUUGUUCGGAAUUACUGGGCGUAAAGGGCGCGUAGGUGGCUUGGCAAGUUGGAUGUGAAAGCCCAGGGCUCAACCCUGGAAUUGCAUUCAAGACUGCCUUGCUUGAAUUCGGUAGAGGUUGGUGGAAUUCCCAGUGUAGAGGUGAAAUUCGUAGAGAUUGGGAAGAACACCCGUGGCGAAGGCGGCCAACUGGACCGACAUUGACACUGAGGCGCGAAAGCGUGGGGAUCAAACAGG